UGUGAACUCGAAGAGUAGGGCGGGACACGUGGUAUCCUGUCUGAAUAUGGGGGGACCAUCCUCCAAGGCUAAAUACUCCUGACUGACCGAUAGUGAACCAGUACCGUGAGGGAAAGGCGAAAAGAACCCCGGCGAGGGGAGUGAAAAAGAACCUGAAACCGUGUACGUACAAGCAGUGGGAGCACCUUCGGGUGUGACUGCGUACCUUUUGUAUAAUGGGUCAGCGACUUAUAUUCUGUAGCAAGGUUAACCGUAUAGGGGAGCCGCAGGGAAACCGAGUCUUAACUGGGCGUUAAGUUGCAGGGUAUAGACCCGAAACCCGGUGAUCUAGCCAUGGGCAGGUUGAAGGUUGGGUAACACUAACUGGAGGACCGAACCGACUAAUGUUGAAAAAUUAGCGGAUGACUUGUGGCUGGGGGUGAAAGGCCAAUCAAACCGGGAGAUAGCUGGUUCUCCCCGAAAGCUAUUUAGGUAGCGCCUCGUGAACUCAUCUUCGGGGGUAGAGCACUGUUUCGGCUAGGGGGUCAUCCCGACUUACCAACCCGAUGCAAACUACGAAUACCGAAGAAUGUUAUCACGGGAGACACACGGCGGGUGCUAACGUCCGUCGUGAAGAGGGAAACAACCCAGACCGCCAGCUAAGGUCCCAAAGUCAUGGUUAAGUGGGAAACGAUGUGGGAAGGCACAGACAGCCAGGAUGUUGGCUUAGAAGCAGCCAUCAUUUAAAGAAAGCGUAAUAGCUCACUGGUCGAGUCGGCCUGCGCGGAAGAUGUAACGGGGCUAAACCAUGCACCGAAGCUGCGGCAGCGACACUAUGUGUUGUUGGGUAGGGGAGCGUUCUGUAAGCCUGCGAAGGUGUGCUGUGAGGCAUGCUGGAGGUAUCAGAAGUGCGAAUGCUGACAUAAGUAACGAUAAAGCGGGUGAAAAGCCCGCUCGCCGGAAGACCAAGGGUUCCUGUCCAACGUUAAUCGGGGCAGGGUGAGUCGACCCCUAAGGCGAGGCCGAAAGGCGUAGUCGAUGGGAAACAGGUUAAUAUUCCUGUACUUGGUGUUACUGCGAAGGGGGGACGGAGAAGGCUAUGUUAGCCGGGCGACGGUUGUCCCGGUUUAAGCAUGUAGGCUGAUUGUCCAGGCAAAUCCGGAUAAUCAAGGCUGAGGUGUGAUGACGAGGCACUACGGUGCUGAAGUAACAAAUGCCCUGCUUCCAGGAAAAGCCUCUAAGCAUCAGGUAACAUCAAAUCGUACCUCAAACCGACACAGGUGGUCAGGUAGAGAAUACCAAGGCGCUUGAGAGAACUCGGGUGAAGGAACUAGGCAAAAUGGUGCCGUAACUUCGGGAGAAGGCACGCUGGUGUGUAGGUGAAGUCCCUGCGGAUGGAGCUGAGACCAGUCGAAGAUACCAGCUGGCUGCAACUGUUUAUUAAAAACACAGCACUGUGCAAACACGAAAGUGGACGUAUACGGUGUGACGCCUGCCCGGUGCCGGAAGGUUAAUUGAUGGGGUUAUCCGUAAGGAGAAGCUCUUGAUCGAAGCCCCGGUAAACGGCGGCCGUAACUAUAACGGUCCUAAGGUAGCGAAAUUCCUUGUCGGGUAAGUUCCGACCUGCACGAAUGGCGUAAUGAUGGCCAGGCUGUCUCCACCCGAGACUCAGUGAAAUUGAACUCGCUGUGAAGAUGCAGUGUACCCGCGGCAAGACGGAAAGACCCCGUGAACCUUUACUAUAGCUUGACACUGAACAUUGAGCCUUGAUGUGUAGGAUAGGUGGGAGGCUUUGAAGCGUGGACGCCAGUCUGCGUGGAGCCAACCUUGAAAUACCACCCUUUAAUGUUUGAUGUUCUAACGUUGGCCCCUGACCGGGGUUGCGGACAGUGUCUGGUGGGUAGUUUGACUGGGGCGGUCUCCUCCCAAAGCGUAACGGAGGAGCACGAAGGUUAGCUAAUCCUGGUCGGACAUCAGGAGGUUAGUGCAAUGGCAUAAGCUAGCUUGACUGCGAGCGUGACGGCGCGAGCAGGUGCGAAAGCAGGUCAUAGUGAUCCGGUGGUUCUGAAUGGAAGGGCCAUCGCUCAACGGAUAAAAGGUACUCCGGGGAUAACAGGCUGAUACCGCCCAAGAGUUCAUAUCGACGGCGGUGUUUGGCACCUCGAUGUCGGCUCAUCACAUCCUGGGGCUGAAGUAGGUCCCAAGGGUAUGGCUGUUCGCCAUUUAAAGUGGUACGCGAGCUGGGUUUAGAACGUCGUGAGACAGUUCGGUCCCUAUCUGCCGUGGGCGCUGGAGAAUUGAGGGGGGCUGCUCCUAGUACGAGAGGACCGGAG
rnacentral:rRNA from 1 species